CAAGAACAUAAGCUCCUUGAGAGCAGGGACUUUGUUCCUCUGUUUGCCACUGUCAUCCUACAGUCUUGUACAUGGCAGGUGUUCAGAAAUAUGUGUUGAAGAAGUGAAUGAAUGACAUCGGUGGUGCCUCGUUGGCCUCCCUUCUUGUGCAUCUCCGCUCGACUUUGUCAUUCCAUCACCACCUAGUGGACACUUUUGUGUACUGCGGGGCAGGGGAGAACAAUGCUCCACACGUGUGACUGACCCAAGCAGGAGGUACCCGAAGCCACCGCAGGCAGAGAUCUGUCCCUUCCGAUGCCGCUGUAUCUUGUGCUGUUGUCUGUCUUCUUCACGGCUGACCCUGUGGUGGGGGAAACUGGAUGAUGGCGGUGUGGUCAAGCUUGGUUCUCCUGGGCGCUCCUCCGAGAAUAUCUGGGCUGCCUCCUGAGCCACAGUGUUUUGGGCCAGUGGAAGGUGGCUCAGACAGUAAAGAGUCUACCUGAAAUGAAGUAAACUCAGGUUCAACUCCUGGGUAAGGAAGAUACCCUGAAGAAUGGCAUGGCAACCCACUCCAGUAUUCUAGCCUGGAGAAUUCCAUAGCAUGGGGUUACAAAGAGUCGGGCACGACUAAGUGACACACUCACUUUCAUGUGAGAUCUUAGUGCCCCGGCCCCAGGAUAUUGAACCAGAGCCCCUUGCAUUGGAAGCGUGGAGUCUUAACGACUGCACUGCCAUGGAAGUCCUUAAUUUUCUUUUUUUGAUGUGAGGGGUUUUUAAUUUUUAUGUAGUUCAGUCUGCCUUUUACGCUUUUUGCCUUGGGAUCAUGCCUGGAAAACCCUUGCUCGUUUAUGGUUUUUACAGCAGUAUUUCACUGAGUCAAAGUUUUCACAUUUUAAAUCUCUGAAAUUGGGAUGUGUUUAUAAUCACCAGUGCUCAGGUGGCAGUCAUUGCCUGCCUGCCCUACAUCAAAAUGUGCAGAAAGUGACCUAAUAGUGGAGCAGACUUAAAAUGCUGCAUCACCACCUGUCUCCUUUUCUCUAGAGUUCUAGCCUGUAGAUGGUGGGUGGAAAUGACAUAGGGGCUUUCCUGCUUGGCCCAUGAAACCUUCCAUACCACCCUCUCCUCUCUCUCUCUCAG
ensembl:lncRNA